rnacentral:rRNA from 1 species
CCUACGGGUGGCAGCAGUGGGGAAUAUUGCGCAAUGGGCGAAAGCCUGACGCAGCGACGCCGCGUGAGGGAUGAAGGUCUUCGGAUCGUAAACCUCUGUCAGCAGGGAAGCACGGUCACUGUGCUAAUCAGCAGUGAAUUGACGGUACCUGCAAAGGAAGCACCGGCUAACUCCGUGCCAGCAGCCGCGGUAAUACGGAGGGUGCGAGCGUUAAUCGGAAUUACUGGGCGUAAAGCGCUCGUAGGCGGUAUGUCAAGUCAAGGGUGAAAUCCCCGCGCUCAACGUGGGAACUGCCUUUGAAGCUGGCAAACUGGAGUGUGUGAGAGGAUAGUGGAAUUCCAGGUGUAGGAGUGAAAUGCGUAGAUAUCUGGAGGAACAUCAGUGGCGAAGGCGACUAUCUGGCACAUAACUGACGCUGAGGAGCGAAAGCGUGGGUAGCAAACAGGAUUAGAUACCCUAGUAGUC